GUGUGUGUGUGUGUGUGUGUGUGUGUGUGUGUGUGUGUGUGUGUGUGUGUGUGUUUCCAGGGGGGCUAUGCUGCCUACAGGUAUACUCAGCCUGCUGCCGCCACAGCAGCUGCUGCAUUCGGUGACAGUUACGGACCAGUAUAUGCUGCGGACCCCUACAACCACCCACUUGCUCCAGCAGCCACAUACAGCAUUGGUGCCAUGAAUCCGUUUGCCCCGUUGGCUGAUGCCAAGACGAGGAGUCAUGCUGAGGACGUGGGGCUGGUGUUGUCCUCCCUGCAGGCUAGUAUAUACAGGGGAGGCUACAGCCGCUUCGCCCCAUACUAACCCACCAACCAACCUCCCUAAAACCAUACAACAACCAAUUACUACCCUACCAACCAACCAACCUCCCCACAACCAAACAACAUCCAAUCCUUUCUGACAGGGACACAACUGAACAACCAACCAACCACACAACCAACAAACCACACAACCAACAAACCAGUAUGUGAGUGAGACAGACAGAGAGAGAGAGAGACAGAGAGAGUGAGAGACAGAGAGAGAGAGAGAGAGAGAGACAGAGAGAGAGAGAGAGAGAGAGAGAGGGAGAGAGAGAGAGAGAGAGACACAGAGAAAGAACUUUGAGGCCUGGGUAUUGCAAUAUAUGCUGUUGAUCAUGAUUUUAGCAGCUCCUAAGAGAGAGGGAAGUAAGUCAACUAAAAGGAAGGACAUUUAUACCUCAGAUAUUGUGUGCUGUUCAUUUUGAUACAGUGGGAUUUUCAUUUGUAAAGGUUAGUAGAUUGUCCGUGUUGGUAGAGCUAUAGAAGAACUACUAGAUUUAAAACCUUACCAUUGUAAAACAACACAUUUCAACUGUUAGGGCUUCUUGAAAAGACAAACCAAUCCUGUAAAAUACAUCGUAGAAUGUGAUCCCGUUUUGUAAGAGUGUUUACAUGAUUGUAGGGUUCGGAUUUCUUUGACAUUCUCUCUGUCAGCGUCUACGUUGUUUCCUAGUUACUGGGGUUAGGAUUAGGAACGGGGUUAAAGUUAAGCACUGGGCAAGUGUUAGGAAUAGGGUUAAGGUUGGGGUUAGGUUAGGUUAGGAUUAGGGUUAAGGUUAGGAUUAGGAACGGCGUUAAAGUUAAGCACUGGGCAAGUGUUAGGGUUAGGAUUAGGGUUAAGGUUGGGGUUAGGUUAGGAUUAGGGUUAAGGUUAGGAUUAGGAACAGGAAUAAAGUUAAGGACUGGGCAAGUGUUAGGGUUAGGAUUAGGGUUGGGGUUAGGUUAGGAUCAGGGUUAAGGUUGUGGUUAGGUUAGGAUUAGGGUUAAGGUUAGGAUUAGGAACAGGAAUAAAGUUAAGGACUGGG